rnacentral:rRNA from 1 species
CCCCUAGAUGUUCUGGGCCGCACGCGCGCUACACUGAACAGUUCAACAAGUCUUAACCUUGGCCGAUAGGUCUGGGUAAUCUUUGAACGCUGUUCGUGAUUGGGAUAGAUCAUUGCAAUUAUUGAUCUUCAACGAGGAAUUCCUAGUAAGCGCAAGUCAUCAGCUUGCGUUGAUUACGUCCCUGCCCUUUGUACACACCGCCCGUCGCUUGUACCGAUUGGAUGGUCCGGUGAAAUCUUCGGAUAGCUGGUAGUUGGCUUGCCAUCUACUGCUAAAAGUUGCUUAAACCUUAUCAUCUAGAGGAACAAGAAGUCGUAACA